GCCCACUCCCGCACUCUCCUCCCUCUCUUGCCCGCUCUUCUCUUCCCCGCCCCCUCCCACCCACGUCGCCGCCCGCCGCCGCCCCCGCCCCUCAGACCUCGCCGCCGCGGACCUCUUUCCCAUCCCCCCUCGUCACCCCGGAGCAGCCACCGCCGUGCCCGGCCUCGCGUACCAGGACCCCGCUCCCUCUGGCGAUUGGUGACGGCUCCCUCAUCCCCUCUUGCCGCCGCCGGUUCUCCUGGCUCUGCCUGGCUGCGGUGAUGGCGGCGCAAUCGAGCUCGUGGUCGGCCGGCAGACGACACCAGGCGGCGACACGACCAUCAGCCGUCGACUCCAGAGCGGAGGGUCACGGGGCGUGAGGAGAGAGAGUGGUCAGAUGCGUGGCGCAACAGAGGUCCUGCUCUGCUCAUGGGCAAGAAGGCCAUGGAGUAGCUGUCUGGUUCAAGGGCAUGCCGUGGUUGCUCCCUGUGUUGAGCGCGUGGACGUAGGACCCUCCUCACACAGCCAGACAAGAUGCAGCGCUGGGGAAGAAGCACAUAUCUUGGUGCAGCCCCCAUUGUACAUUGCUUGGAAAUCAGCAGAUUCUGUAGUGUAUCCAUAAUAGAACUUAGCAUUAACAUAUUGUUGCUGAUUUGCCUCGAUACAUAUAUAUUUUCCUGGUCAUUUCACUGUAAUGAGUAUUGAUAACUUGCAUAUUAUUUAUCACUGUAAUGAGUAUUGAUAACUUACAUAACUUGGUGCAGCCCCCAUUGCACAUUGCUCGGAAAUUGCAACUUAAGGUAACGAACCUAAUAUAGUAUAAAAAUCUCGGACGUUUGACUCACAAGUAUAAAAAUCUAAAUGUAAUAUAACUAUGCUAGGAGCAGCGUAUCAAUAAUGAUGGACCUGCUGGUAUCUCGGAUGUUUGCCAAUGAUAGAUGACGAUGGCUAGCUCGCAUUGCCAUCAUAUAGUCUAGAAGAAAGGGCAAGGAUUAUAGGAAAAAUAAAGGUACAAUGCUCACAAUAUAUUUUACCUUUUUGGCGAAGUUUUGGUGCUUGCGCAAGAAAAUAACACCAUCAUUAUACCUAGUGCUCAUUUUUUAUUCAGGCAAUUAGCCAUCAGUAGGAAAUGCCAACUAAUUGUACUUUCUUUGUUACAGAGGUGAAAUUACUACUACUUUUUGAAAGCUUUUUUUGUUGCAUGUUCCCCUUUCUUAAUCUUCUGUUUGUUCAAAUGUACAUACAUGUCCUUACACAAUGAAUCUCACCAUGCUAUCAUUUCCUGAAUAAGCUGAGGAUAUAUGUUUUCAAAGCCUCUGUUACGAGUGAAAUGCGGCAAUGGAAGCAAGGAGUCACGGCUUACUUCUAUUCGGAUUCCAUCUCUACUAGGACAAUCCUGAUAUCCUUCUCACCAUUUAUAUUUGAUUCCUUGGAGAUUCAUAAAGAAGGUAUGUGCAAAAUAUCCGAAUUUCAAACAGACCCACACUUGAGGUUUUUUGUUGCAUUUUUUGUAUCUUAUUCUUUUGCAGGAAUGCAUCCAUGGUCUUGGUAUAAAUUUGUUUGGAUGGUUCAGAAUCUUCAGAUGGCAUGGAUGAGACAUAAUUUGUUGUAUUCGGAUAUUUUUCAUGGUUACAGGGUGGAUAUAGAUCACAGGUUGAAUUUCACCGUACAAAAAGCGUUUCCAUGCUUCAGCACGCCGGAUUAAGUUGUCAAGCCCUGUAUGUGAGGAUGGGGAAACAUCAAAGCACCAUGCAGCCGAUCUGGCCAUCGAAUGCAUGGAAACCAGCGAGUAGAAGGUGCUUGUUGACUAUAACCAUUAUCAGAUAGAGCAACAGAAAAAUGCAUGUGCAAGGGUAGCCAUUAGAAAAAUCAGAAAAAAUAAAACAACACAACAAGACCAGCAAGCAGAUACCAACUUUACAUCCGGAUCAACAUCAAAAGACAACGAUGUAAAUCAUAUUUUGAGACAAGAUAUGUUGAUGAUCGUGUUAGUGACACAAUGACACAGUAAAAGUAUGAUGUCCAACAGACAAACAAGUGUCAUUGGAGCUUGAUGGUGAUAUGGAAGGAAUCUCUUCUUUAGGCAAUGACAAACUACUUUUCAAUACCGAUGGUGCAUGCAAUGAUGACUCUGCUUGAUGAUCAUUGCUUUAUAACUGCAACCAUCUAUAUGCUGCAUCUCUUGCUAUAUACUUUGCUCAUUGUAAAUAAUCUAUUGUAGACUUAAACUACUAUGUAUCAUCAAUGGGUUGUCUUAGAACGCUAUAUGUCACCACAUGUUUCCAUUUGCUUAUGCUCAUCACAGACUUCCAACACUGUGUCAGUAUUGAGUUCUCUUAGAACAAUAUGUAUAAACACCAAAUUCCUA